rnacentral:rRNA from 1 species
AGAGUUUGAUCCUGGCUCAGAAUGAACGCUGGCGGCAUGCCUAACACAUGCAAGUCGAACGAAGCCUUCGGGCUUAGUGGCGCACGGGUGCGUAACGCGUGGGAAUCUGCCCUUGGGUUCGGAAUAACAGUUAGAAAUGACUGCUAAUACCGAAUGAUGUCGUAAGACCAAGGAUUUAUCGCCCAGGGAUGAGCCCGCGUAGGAUUAGCUAGUUGGUGUGGUAAAGGCGCACCAAGGCGACGAUCCUUAGCUGGUCUGAGAGGAUGAUCAGCCACACUGGGACUGAGACACGGCCCAGACUCCUACGGGAGGCAGCAGUGGGGAAUAUUGGACAAUGGGCGAAAGCCUGAUCCAGCAAUGCCGCGUGAGUGAUGAAGGCCUUAGGGUUGUAAAGCUCUUUUACCCGGGAUGAUAAUGACAGUACCGGGAGAAUAAGCUCCGGCUAACUCCGUG